AUUACUAUAUACAUAAAUGAAGUUCGGCAAAACCAGAAGGGCAGCCAGAAAACCCUCACCGUUCGCCGGGUUCCGGCCAUUUCCGGCAACCCUUGAGCUACCCUUGUGCCGGUUCAUGUUCCACCAUCAUCUCCACCGUAGAUAUAACGGAAUCCGGCGACGUUUGGGCUUCCUUCGUGCGACCUUUCAUCUUCCGGAGAAGGUUUGGCUUCCCGAGUGUUGGGUCAUCUUCCCCUAGCUCCAUUUCACCUUCUCCGAUCUUCCUUGCCGCCGAUUUGACGGUUUUCCGGCGCGUUUUAUCACUUACAGAUUGUGACUCUUCGGCUUCCAGGCGAGUUUUCGCUCACUUUCCGGUGAUGUUGCACCUCCCCAGCUACUGGUCCUCGCUUCCCAGAUCGAUAGCUACCUCCCGGUACCUUCGGAUCAUCGUUUCGCCCCCGGCUGCCGGGAACCGCCACUGGAAGCCUCCCUUGGCUACAAACCACCUUCUUCAACUGCCGGUGAUUCGUUUUCCACCAUGACCAGCACCAUUUCACCGUCCCCAGCCACCGUCGACACCACCAUGAGCGGUUGAGCUCCCGGUUGCUCGUUACGGUGUAGGCUAGACCAAGUUAAAUGCGCUACCAGGUGGCCUUUUCCAGAAGACAAAACUCGAUAUAUCAGUGAUAAUUCAUAAAUGUCCUAUUCCUGAAGCACAUCAAAUUGAUGGUCGUACUCGUACCUACAAGGAAGUCCAAAUUGAAUUAUCAAUUUGACAGCAGCUACCAGCAACCCACAAGCCACAGGGUUCGGUUUUUUUCAGCGGGGCAAAGAAACUUAUAAAAAUGGCUAAAAUGCAUUGUGGUCUACAAGAUAGAAAAUAGCAUAAUGUGAUCAGCUGGAGAAGAGAAGAGGAUUUGCAGUAAUGCUUUUCAUUUCUGUUAUCUGAAAGAGAAUAGCAAAAUUUGACCAACAGGAGAAGAGAGGAGGACUUGCUAUAACAUCUUUCAUUUCUGUUACCUUUGUGAGCUCUGUUUUUUAUUUUCUGCAUAAGGUUGAACAAUUAAGGUUGGAAAAUAUUUUCAGCCCAUGCAAAAGCAGUUACAUCCGAGAAGUUUUCCCUUAAUGAACUUUACGCUUUGAAUGUUGGAUCGAUUAUGCAACAUGUUAGGGAGCUUCUUCAUUUUGCUGUAAAUUGGCUCUUUUUGAUGCAGUGACCAAGUUUAGAAGAAAUCAAAAGACUAUAAGAAGAGAUAUGACAGGAGCUCUUAUCAUACUAGAGAAGAUUGACAGAGGCAAUUAGCCUCGAAAUAUAUAGCAUAACAUCUCCUUACUUCUUAAAGUGGAGGGUGAUUAUGCGACCAACCAGAGGAGGACGGAGUCAUUCUAAAUGACUUUACUCAGAAAUGGAGAAUUAUCAGUUGAAGUUGCUAGAAAGGAACAAUAUUGUGUUUCUGCCCCAAAGAUCAAAUUGAUUAGUUAUGCUUGUUGAUUUGCUACUAAGGCUAUCUAUGCUGAUAAUAUAAUACUCCAUUACUGAACAGCAAAGAAAAUCCUCAAGAACUCAAUGUCCAGUGUGGUUUUAGUAUUAAUUGGUCGUCCAAUGAUGCAUUGUGGUGACAAGUCCAGCAUCAUGGUAGGCAUGAGUAUGCCAGACAGCAAAAUCCAAUCAAAGAAACUUAAGUGAAGCAAGUUUAUCUGUCUCGCAAUUUAAAGGAAUUUAAGGUCAGAAGAUGGUGUGUAACAAGAACAUGACAAAAUGAGAACUUUGUAUCACAGGGGACAAAAUUUACCGGGAGCAAUCAAUCUCAAAUUAUCCUAUAUAACCUUUAAUUAAUUUACGAGUCAUGCUGGCAAGGCUAGUAUUUCAAAAUUUUGUCAAUGAUUAGCAGAGGGACUGCUUAUGGUCAAAGCAGUUGUCAAGCACCAACUUAUCAGUGGUAGAAACUUCGUUUAGGACCUUGUGCAAAAGAGAAAUUGUGGUUGAAGAAACAAGUUCUAUAUGUCAAGUUUUCACACUUGCUUGGUGUUCUUCUAGCAUUCAGUGGUCAAUCAAGGAUGCAUUGGUUGAGAAUUGGAAAUAACAACCUUAAUUUAGGAGAAAAAAUAUUUUUAGACUACUGAGAAGCAGCUACACCAGAACAUUUUUCUAAAUUUUGUAUCAUGGAGAACGGUGCCAGGAAGUUACAACAAAGGAAUCAAAUUUUGUUUCUACCCCAAAGACCACAUUAAUUAGUUAUGCGUGAAUUGAUUUACUACUAAGGCUAAAUAUGUUGAGAAUUUUCUGUAAAGGACUUCAAUGGUGUGCCUGCUGCACAUAUCAAAUUGAAUUCAUUUGCUACUCAUGGUAGCUAUUCCAAGAAUUUAAAGCUCCUCCACCAAUCAGCAGAGAAAAUAUUGAAGGACCAAAUUUUAUUGGUCGAUAAUUUCAAUAAUUCCUGAAACUUCAUUGAGGCUCAAGUGGUCAACGUCUUGUUUUCACAUUUGCUUGGUGCCAAUUUUAAAUUAAGAAAUGUUACUUUCUAUUCACAGAGGAGAGAAAAAAGGAAGCUAUUUUAAUGACAAGUCAUUGUUACUUUGAUUUUGGAUGACACCACCAAAUAAAUUGGUCAUUGGACUCAAAAGAACCAGUUUACUAGUCAUGCUAACAAGGCUAGUAUGAAGAAAUUAUGUGGAGAAGUUACCCUGAAAGUUUGUGUGUUGUGUUGGAUAUGGUUCUUGCAUGACUUUGAAGGAUUAUCGGCUUACAUUGACACAUUCGGGGUCUCGUUCGAUGGUGACUAGGCAGGGGUGGGAGGCAGCACCUCCUUGAUAGUAAGCUCAAUUAGUAAUUGGGCUUAGAAUUGACUUGUAAAUAUUUGGGUUUGGGUCAAGUUUGAUCGGUUUGGCCCAAAUAAGGUUAGGGUUACUAUUAUAUGCAUAAUGUUAUGGUAGAAAAACCGUAGUGUGAGAAAAAUAGAGAAAAAGUGAGCUGUCGAUAUUCUUUUAUCAUUGUAUUCUUCAGAUUCUUGAAACUCAAUAAAAUUGUUCUAUUUGAAUGUUGGACGUAGUUCUCAGUAAUUGAGAACAAACCAGGGUAAAUUGAUUAUGCCCGCUUUACUUUUCUGUUUUAUUUGUUGUGUGUUUUAGUUGUGAUUUCAACAUAUUGCACACUUUAGAUAUUAGUGGUUGUAUGCUAGGGAAAUUACCUCAUGGAAGGGAAAAUUAGUUAAUUUGAGGCAUUUAAUAAAUAGCUCUGUAUCACUAAGUUACAUUUUAAAAGAGAU